CCUUUGGACCAAUCACGCGGGAGUCGAUUCGGGAGCUGAUUAAGUUUGUGUUUCCCCAUGCUGUGGUCCUUGGGCUGGUCGCAGAUUUGGCCUUCAUCCUGCUAAGUGUUGCUGGUGCUCUGGUAAUGUCCAUGUCGCCGUCUGUGGAGGGAUCGACAUCUCAGGGACAGAUGAUUGGUUCCGUGAUCAUGGAUGUGGGGGUGAUUGCCUUCCAUGCGAUAUCUUGCUUUGUUAUCGUUCCAGCUUUCGCACUGCGUAUCUUCAGGAAGGACUCACCGUGGCACUUUGUUGAGCCAUAACCCUGAACUGAAGGUGUGAAGAAACGAUGGGCAGAUAGAAGAGACUUCGCUGAAGAUUAUAGCCGCUGACAAUUACUGGAUUAUACUUACAUGUAUUCACGACUGUAUGUUGGUCCCCUACUUAGUAUUGCAUACUCCAUGUGCUAGGAGCUCUGAUGAUUGGACAUUAUGGCGUUUCAGACUUCAGUGUUUACCUGCUGUUGGGAUGCCAACACUGCCAGAGGAUAGUGCUUUUCUAGGCGAAUAGAAUUUGCCAUGUUUGCAAAUGUUGGAUGACUACUGUUUUCUUGCAAGAGGUGUUGGCUCUGUGGCAGUUAUCAUAGAAUGUUAUGUGCGUC